rnacentral:rRNA from 1 species
CACUUUUAAUUAUAUUUUAUAUACCGCCGUCUUGAAUAGAUCCAAAAAUUUUAUUCAAAAUAAAAUUCUAAAAAUUUAGGUAAAGGUGUAAACUAUUUAAAAGAUAAAAUGUAUUACAUUAAAUAAAAUUUAAGGAUCGAAUUAAAUAUAAUUUCAAGAAAGGGGAUUUAUAAGUAUUACUUUAUUAAUAUUAAAAUUUG